GUAGUCUCGCACAGAUGCAUAUCAAUAAGCGGAGGAAAAGAAACUAACAAGGAUUCCCCUAGUAACGGCGAGUGAAGCGGGAAGAGCUCAAAUUUGAAAUCUUAAAGGGUUUCCCUUUACGAAUUGUAGUUUAAAGAAGUGUUUUCUGUUGAGGUUUUGGUAAAAGUUCUUUGGAAUAGGACAUCAUAGAGGGUGAGAAUCCCGUAUUUGACCUUUACUUUCAACUUUGUGAUACACUUUCAAAGAGUCGGAUUGUUUGGGAAUGCAGUCCAAAAUGGGUGGUAAAUUUCAUCUAAAGCUAAAUAUUGGCGAGAGACCGAUAGCGAACAAGUACCGUGAGGGAAUAAGAUGAAAAGAACUUUGAAAAGAGAGUUAAACAGUACGUGAAAUUGUCAAAAGGGAAGCGUUUGACACCAGUGUUGUUUUUCUGAAAAUCAAUUAAAGAACUGUUUAUGCUAAGCUGUUUAGACUUUAUCAGCUAUCUGUUUAGUUUUGAGCUUUUCUUUAAUGCACUUUUCAGUUAACAAGUCAACAUCAAUUUCUUUUGCUGUAAAAAAGCUUGAGGAAGGUGGCUUGAGAUUCGUCUUAAGUGUUUAUAGCCUCUUGCCUAUGCAGUCGGAGAGAUUGAGGUCUGCAGCGUAGAUCCUUCGGGGCUAAAUGCAUUUGUGCUAAGUUAUAGCAUUUUAUAGACAACUUGUUGACUAUGAUUUGUCUUGUAGCUUACUCGCUUAUGUUAUUUUACCUACGCUUAGGAUGUUGAAGACUCUACAGAGAUA
rnacentral:rRNA from 1 species